GCCUCAGCUCCAAGUCCAAUGUCAGCACUCGUCAUUUUUACCUUGUCAAACGUUGCAGCAAGCUCAUCACUGAAAUAUUAAAUGGCAUACGAGAAAUCUGUGAAAUUCCAAGAGCGAGAGAAACCUGGCAGCCAAAUAAUCGUCCUUAUGACUACAUCACAAAUUUUAAACAAAUUCAAAAAUGGUAAACAUGAUUGAUAAUACCUAUCUGGUUCCGGCUUUUCUCUCAGCAGCUGCAUUUUCUGUACAAGCGUAUCCA